rnacentral:rRNA from 1 species
CUGCAGCCCAAGUGGUGAUCGAUAUUAUUGAGCCUAAAGCGUCCGUAGCCGGUUUGGUAAACCCUCGGGUAAAUCGAGCAGCUUAACUGUUCGAAUUCCGGGGGGACUGCCAGACUUGGGACCGGGAGAGGUCAGAGGUACUUCAGGGGUAGGGGCUAAAUCCUGUAAUCCUUGAAGGACCACCAGUGGCGAAGGCGUCUGACUAGAACGGAUCCGACGGUAAGGGACGAAACCCUGGGGCGCGAACCGGAUUAGAUACCCGAGUAGUCC